CGCCUGAUCGAUAGUUUAUCACUUUGAAGUGCAUAUAAUUGAUUUCGUUUGCGGAGGCUUUAAACUCUUGGUGUGCAGUGCAGUGGGUGAUUUUAGAGGCUUAGGGCAAGCCCUAUAUAGCCGACAAAAUGUGCCUGCUCCAAGCAGUGAAAAGUAUGGAGUAGGGCGGUGAUUUGCAGUGAGAUCGGCCUUUCGUUCACUGCAUACAAUUAUGUGGUGUGUCCUGUGAGCUGCAUUCCAGAGCGAUGGUGGACUGGAGUGGCUGGCACGGAUAGCUGGCAUGAGCCGGCAAGCACUCGCGUUCUGUCCGGGCAGACAUCAAGGUUUGCGGUCGCCGAGGGAUACACGGUUACACUGACACACACACAAAUUAAACUUUAGGUUAAGGAUUUAGCGUAAGUAUACUAAUAUACAUCUUGAAAAUGCAUGUGAAAUUUAUGUUUUUAUUUUGUGCAAUGAUUCCGAGUAGUGCUUUUUUUUUUAUGGGUCCACUAUAUUGUUUGAACCAAUUGUUGGCGGUUCUGGGUACGUGGGCAAUGGGGACCAGUGCCAUCUUCGCCUCUUUUCACUUUUGUCUCCGUCUCAUGCGCCCCCCCCUCAAGGGGGAGGU